CGAGGGGUGCUGGAGCCACAGUUGGUGGAGGCGGAGGGGACGACGAAGAUGGGUAAACAAGUGAGGCUGAGAGAGAAAGAGUAGAUGGUGUUUACAGCUGUAAUUUCCUUACAUUUCUUUUUAUAUGUUAAAAGACAAUAAAGUCCCUAGAGCUUUUGUAAUAGACAUUAAACAAGUGAGGGUAAAAUUGUCAUUUUGAAGAGAUAGGGGUUGGUGAGUGGUUGAAAAAAGAGAGGGAAGUUUUGGCGCGCUUCAUAAGGAGAUAUCGCGGCGACAAAUAUCGCCACUAAAACUCUAUUUUUUUACCGGCGACAAAUUGUUGCCGCUAUAUAUUCCGUUUCAGUGGCGACUCUUAUAUGUCGCCACCAUUUUAUAUACAUUGGCGGCGACAAAUAAAAGUCGCCACCAUUUUCUGUACAUUGGCGGCGACAAAUAAUUGUCGCCACCAUUUUCUAUGCAUUAGCGGCGACAAAUAAAUGUCGCCACCAUAUUAUUUACAUUAGUGGCGACAUUCCCUGUCGCCACCAAAAAGUCGCCACUAAAAAGUACUUUUGUUGUAGUGAUGGUUUUGUGAAAUUAAAUAAAGUAAUUGCGGUUUUCACGUAAAAUUUUGAAAAUGGUUUUCUACCCCCUCGUUGUAGCGUUUUAAAGAAAAGGUUUACGUGUGGGAAACCGUUUUAUAAAGGGUUUUUCUGUUUUCAUGAUUCUUAAUAUUUCAAAAUAAGUUUCCGAGUGGGAAAUAUUUUAAACUAAUAGAUGUGGAUUUAUGAUAAACUAUGAUGGAAUGAUUGUUAUGUGGUGAUUGUAUGUAGAUAUGUAUUCAGUGUGGUUGUCUCUUGUACUUGUGCGACGCCGUACAAAUAUAAGGGAGACUCUGUCCGUGUGAACAGUGAAUUUCCUAUAUUUGUGGCGAAUCUGACGUCUUAUGGGGUCAAGGCUUUAAAUAAAAAAUUGGGCAUUUCCGCAUCGAUUUUAAAACCAAAAGGGACCCCCGGUCGUGGCAUAUAAUCUUAAAAUUAGUAUUUAUAAUUUUGAAUUCUAAAUUUUAAAUUUAAAAUUUAAAUUAUUAUUUUUAAUUAUUUAAAUUUUAAAUUUGACAUUUUAUAUUUGUAAAUUUUGAUUUUAUUUAAAAUUUAAAUUUUAAAAUUUAUAACUUUAAAUUUUUAAAUUUGAGAUUUAAAAAUUUAAAUUUAAAUUUAAAUUUUUAAUUUUUUAAUUUUAAAAGUUAUCUAUUUAAAUUUGAAAUUUUAAAUAUAAAAUUUAAAAUUUUAAUUCAAAUAUAAUAAUUGGAGCAAUAUUAUUAUUUUCUAUUUAUAACUUGUAACAUCCCAAUAAUUUCAUAUCGGAUAAUUAUGGCUAGAUGUGGGAGUAUAUAAGCUUAAGUAUGCUAGACAUAAUAACUGAAUUUAAGCAUUUUGGGCCGGUGGUUUGGGACCAACAAGUUAUUGUUGUUAGCGGGUCGAGUCGUUACAUUUGGUAUUAGAGCCAGUUCGCCUGCCGGAAAUGUGAGAUGAGUCUUGGCUGAGCCAGGGUCGAUGAAUGUCACGCCCCGGAGCCGCCAAUUUCGUCGGUUCGGGCACGCGAAUAGACGCCGAACGGACAGCACCUUCUCUGUCCGCCCAAUGCUCCAACAAUAUGUAUAAUACAAGCAAUUCAAUACAAGAUGAAUGCAAUUAUACAAGGUUUGCACGAGGGCAAACAACAACCAAAUCAUAAGCGAAAGCAUCUAUGCUAUUACACUAAACCAUUCAACAUAUGUCAUUUGAUUACAUUUAAACCAAACACAAGUAAACUAUUCUUUUACAUACAGUUUUUCAUUCACAAUUACAUCACAUUGUCCUUUAACCCAAAAUAUAGGAAUUACAUUUUUUUCUUUACAUUUUUUAUAAUUCAACAUACAAAA
rnacentral:lncRNA from 1 species